UUAAAGUAGUAAUAGUUAUGUUCUUGAAACUUAAAAAAUUUGGCGGUAUUUUAGUCUAUUCAGAGGAACCUGUCCUAUAAUCGAUAAUCCACGUUGGACCUCACUUAAGUUAGUUAAUCAGUUUGUAUACCGUCGUUAUAAGAAUAUUUUAUUAGAAUAAUAAUUUUCUAGAGUUUUUAUAAAAAUUUAUAUCAGAUCAAGGUGCAGCUUAUAUUUAAGAAGAGAUGGGUUACAAUAAAUUUAUUUAAACGAAUUAAUUUUUGAAAUAAAAUUAUGAAGGUGGAUUUGAAUGUAAAAUUAUAAAGAUUAAUAAUUUGAUUUUAGCU
rnacentral:rRNA from 1 species